UACGUAGGGUGCAAGCGUUAAUCGGAAUUACUGGGCGUAAAGCGUGCGCAGGCUGUUUUGUAAGUCAGAUGUGAAAUCCCCGAGCUCAACUUGGGAACUGCGUUUGAAACUACAAGACUAGAAUAGGUCAGAGGGGGGUAGAAUUCCAUGUGUAGCAGUGAAAUGCGUAGAGAUGUGGAGGAAUACCAAUGGCGAAGGCAGCCCCCUGGGAUCAUAUUGACGCUCAUGCACGAAAGCGUGGGGAGCAAACAGG
rnacentral:rRNA from 1 species